rnacentral:rRNA from 1 species
ACCCCUGGCCAAAUCACACUGCAUGCACCGCUCAAACUCCUCAGAGCUCGGAAGCUAAGGAGGUCUAAGCCUGGUUAAUUCUUAGAUGGGUCACCACCGGUGAAUGUCAGAUGUUGUCGGUA